UACGAAGGGGGCUAGCGUUGCUCGGAAUUACUGGGCGUAAAGCGCACGUAGGCGGCUUUCUAAGUCGGGGGUGAAAUCCUGGAGCUCAACUUCUGGCCUGCAUCCGAUACUGCCCGACUAGAGGUAGGUAGGGGAGAUCGGAAUUCCUGGUGUAGCGGUGAAAUGCGCAGAUAUCAGGAGGAACACCGGUGGCGAAGGCGGAUCUCUGGGCCUUACCUGACGCUCAGGUGCGAAAGCUAGGGGAGCGAACAGG
rnacentral:rRNA from 1 species